GACAGAGGGUGCAAACGUUGUUCGGAAUUACUGGGCGUAAAGCGCGUGUAGGCGGACUCGCAAGUCAGAUGUGAAAUCCCCGGGCUCAACUCGGGAACUGCAUCUGAAACUGCGAGCCUUGAGUACCGGAGAGGGUGGCGGAAUUCCUGGUGUAGAGGUGAAAUUCGUAGAUAUCAGGAGGAACACCGGUGGCGAAGGCGGCUCGCUGGGCCAUUCCUGACGCUGAGACGCGAAAGCUAGGGGAGCGAACAGG
rnacentral:rRNA from 1 species